rnacentral:misc_RNA from 1 species
GAUGAAGAACGUAGCGAAAUGCGAUAAGUAAUGUGAAUUGCAGAAUUCAGUGAAUCAUCGAAUCUUUGAACGCACAUUGCGCCCGCCAGUAUUCUGGCGGGCAUACCUGUUCGAGCGUCAUUUCAACCAUCAAGCCCCCGGCUUGUGUUGGGGACCUGCGGCUGCCGCAGGCCCUGAAAAGCAGUGGCGGGCUCGCUGUCACACCGAGCGUAGUAGCAUACAUCUCGCUCUGGGCGUGCUGCGGGUUCCGGCCGUUAAACCACCUUCAUAACCCAAGGUUGACCUCGGAUCAGGUAGGAAGACCCGCUGAACUUAAGCAUAUCAAUAAGCGA